rnacentral:sRNA from 1 species
UUUUAGCCCUGAUCGCAGCGGUAUCCUUUUAUUGCCGUCUUUAGGCAAUGAAAGAUAUAGCUAAGAGCGGGAGUGGCU